CUCAGCAGGGUGGCUGGAAAUUGCACUGAUUAGCAUUUGGCAUUGAAGUAAACGUCUCAGGCCUUUGACAAAGAAAAUGCUUUCUUUGUCAAAGCUGCACAACAUAACAACGCUGUUUCAGACGUACGGUAACUGGAGUACAAUAGUGGGCCUUGGGACAGAAAAUUCACAGAAGAAAAUGAUGAUUUCAUUCAUGAACAUAAUGCUGCGUUCGACCAAUUUGGUAAGAUGGGAAAUCAGAUCAGUAAUUUUUAAACACUGCUGGUGCCCACACAGAUGUACUAAAAAAUAAUUACAAUAACUAUUUGUUUUUCACACCAUGUUAGGGGUGUCAGUGUCCACUCUUGGAGAGCAAAUCCUCUAAGAUUUCUCAACGUCAACCUCAACAAACACACAGCAACAUCGACAGAAGGAGUCGAAAAGCAAAAACACAUAAACACCCUAAAAUAAUUAACUGUAAAUUACAUAAGUUAGCCGUUUCUACCAGGAUGUUAGCCAGAUCUAUGAGGAAGUUACCAAACUACCAGGAAGUUGGCCAUUUUUACCAGAAAGUUUGCCAUUUCUCUCAGGAAGUUAGCCAAUCUAUCAGGAUGUUAGCAAGGUUACCAGGAGUUAGUUAUCCCAAUACGUUAGCUAGACCACAGGGAGUUAGCUAUGCUAGCUGGAAGUUAGUCAACCGAGCAAGAGAUUAGCCAGGCUACCAGGAAGCCUAACAGGAAGUGAGCCCAGCUACCAGGAGGUUAGCUAGCCUAGCAGGAAAUUAGCAAGUCUAACAGGGAGAGCCCAGCUACCAGGAGGUCAGCUAGCCUAACAGGAAAUUAGCAAGCCUAACAGGACGUGAGCCCAGCUACCAGUAGGUUAGCUAACCUAGCAAGAAAUUAGCCAGUCUUCCAGUAUAGCUAGACCUAAUGGCCAUGCAUCUUUAAAAACAUGAGCGGGAUGGAAGUUGGUGGAAUGAAUAGACAGAUUUCAAGGUCAAUAAAUCAGUUUAUGUGAUAGCAACAUUUUUAAUUUGAAGUCUUUUCCCCGCUGGAUGUGUUUUUGCUUUUGGAUCAUUUCUGUGUUUGGAGCAUUUGUACGUUGCUGCGUGUUUGUGACUGAACGUAGCGGGCCGGCAAGUUUUGUUUUUUAUGCUUUAAGGACAUAGAAUCAUAUGAUCCAAGGGAGCGACUCUGCCUUUGUCAAACAUCGAUUGAGAAGUAGGCCAGGAGCCGGGGGGGGCCGCCAGCUCGGAUGUUCCCACAGACGAGAGAGGAGGCCAGCGCUGAGGAACAGAGAUUGCACAACUGUCAUGUUGGAGGGACUUGAGACGGCUUAAGGUUAGAAACACUCUAGAGUUCAAGAAAUAACUCAUGGCAAAACAGGAAGGUGGAGUCCGUGUGGUGUCUUGCUGCAACGUCUUACUAAAGUCAAGAAUCACAUCUUCAGCGAAGUCCUGCUAUGAAGUCCAGCAUCCUGAAGUCGCCGCUUUACUGUUGAUACUGACACUGGUGUUGUACGGCUACUAUUUAGUGACGACCUGUGAGGUGUCUUUGUCUUAAACUACACACUCUCAGAUAUUUGUCUUCUUGCACAGCUGUGCAUCGUUUUUCUGUCCUUGUUAGACCCAGUUUGUGCUGCUCUCUGAAGGGAGUAGUUAACAGCAUGGUAAGAGAUUUUAGUUUUAGUUGAGAUUUUUAGAUGGGUUUUCUAAUAAUCUAUUAGCCUUAUAAAAUGAUGAACUUGAAUUAGCAGCCAUAUCAGGAGAUUGAUUCAGAGGACUGACAGUGGUUGAUAGUAGGCCUCUAUGCAAAAAUUUAGAUCCUUCUUUAAAAAUCAUCUGAUUCCUUUUAAUUAUUUGUGAAAUGGAUACAAAUGUUUGUGAAAUGGAAAAAAUUGUUGUGCAAUGCAUUCAAAUUUUUCUUUUGUUUUUGCAAGUGAUGCCAAACUUUUGAGCGGUAGUGUAACUCAUGGCAAAACAGGAAGGUGGAGUCCGUGUGGUGUCUUGCUGCAACAUCGUGUCUUAUUACGUCAAUAAUUAUAAUAAUCUUCAGUGAAGGUAAACGUUAUUUCUAUUUGUUUACAUGCAUUUGGAGUUGUUUUGUUGGUUUCUUUUGCAUAGAAAUCGCACACAUCUGAUUAUAAAAUUGCAGAAGUAAAGAAAGUCUAUCCUCAUUUGACUUUUGGAACCUUAGAGAAAGCCGUUUUAUCAGUCCUGAUAUAUACGUAUGUACUGUAUACACAUACACACGUACAGUAUAUAGCCUUUAGAACCUGCUUCCUUUUGAACAAUUCACAUCUGAUGUCUUAGAGGGGACAAUGGGAGGUCUUGCCAAUCACGCAAAAUUCCAUUUCCUAUUCAAUGGAUCUCAGCGCAGAUAGCCGAAGGGAGAGGAGCAUUAUGUUGACGGGAAAAAAGGAGACAGCGGACAAGCAAUUAAUGAUAUCUGAGCUGAGGUUUCAUAUCGCCAGCAAUCAAAAAUAGAUUUAAAUGAUCGUACGGUCGAAUGUCAGGCGUGCUUGCUCCUUUCAAGCCAUUCCCCUCUUAAUACAGGGGGCUAAAUUGCUUCGGCCAUAUUUGUGAUAAUCACAGCAUUGAGAGACAGCGCAAUGAAUGGUUCCUUUUUAAAAGUUCCAGCACUAGUCCUGGAAAUAGACUUUUAAUAUGAAUGUAUUUCAGCAACCGCAAGUGUAAUGGAUUUCGCUGGAUGAUUGAUUUAGUUUCACUCUUUAAUGUCCACCUGCAUGUUUUUACAGGUAGUGCUUUAAUAACGGUGUCUGGAAAUGUAAUGCAUCAACUGCAUGAGCAGUGUAAUUAUGCUCAUAAACACUCGUGUUGUUUUUUAUUGGGACCUACGAUA